CGAGCGAACAGAUAAGGAGCUUGCUCCUUUGACGUUAGCGGCGGACGGGUGAGUAACACGUGGGUAACCUACCUAUAAGACUGGAAUAACUCCGGGAAACCGGGGCUAAUGCCGGAUAACAUUUAGAACCGCAUGGUUCUAAAGUGAAAGAUGGUUUUGCUAUCACUUAUAGAUGGACCCGCGCCGUAUUAGCUAGUUGGUAAGGUAACGGCUUACCAAGGCAACGAUACGUAGCCGACCUGAGAGGGUGAUCGGCCACACUGGAACUGAGACACGGUCCAGACUCCUACGGGAGGCAGCAGUAGGGAAUCUUCCGCAAUGGGCGAAAGCCUGACGGAGCAACGCCGCGUGAGUGAUGAAGGUCUUCGGAUCGUAAAACUCUGUUAUUAGGGAAGAACAAAUGUGUAAGUAACUAUGCACGUCUUGACGGUACCUAAUCAGAAAGCCACGGCUAACUACGUGCCAGCAGCCGCGGUAAUACGUAGGUGGCAAGCGUUAUCCGGAAUUAUUGGGCGUAAAGCGCGCGUAGGCGGUUUCUUAAGUCUGAUGUGAAAGCCCACGGCUCAACCGUGGAGGGUCAUUGGAAACUGGGAAACUUGAGUGCAGAAGAGGAAAGUGGAAUUCCAUGUGUAGCGGUGAAAUGCGCAGAGAUAUGGAGGAACACCAGUGGCGAAGGCGACUUUCUGGUCUGUAACUGACGCUGAUGUGCGAAAGCGUGGGGAUCAAACAGGAUUAGAUACCCUG
rnacentral:rRNA from 1 species